GUGGCAGUAGUUCAGUGGUAGAGCUUCCGCUUCACACGAGUGGAGGCCUGGGUUCGAUUCCCAACUGCUUUC
rnacentral:tRNA from 1 species